UACGUAGGGUGCGAGCGUUGUCCGGAAUUAUUGGGCGUAAAGGGCUCGUAGGCGGUUUGUCGCGUCGGGAGUGAAAACACCGGGCUUAACUCGGUGCUUGCUUUCGAUACGGGCAGACUAGAGGCAUGCGGGGGAGAACGGAAUUCCUGGUGUAGCGGUGAAAUGCGCAGAUAUCAGGAGGAACACCGGUGGCGAAGGCGGUUCUCUGGGCCUUACCUGACGCUGAGGAGCGAAAGCGUGGGGAGCGAACAGG
rnacentral:rRNA from 1 species